CCUGGUUGAUCCUGCCAGCAAUCAUAUGCUUGUCUAAAAGAUUAAGCCAUGCAUGUCUAAGUAUAAGUUGUUAUACGGCGAAACUGCGAAUGGCUCAUUAUAUCAGCUACAAUCUACUCGAUCGAUAAAGUUAAUCGGAUAACUGUAGGAAUUCUAGAGCUAAUACGUGCGAAAGGGCCGGACGGCGGGCAACCGUCGGAAGGCCGCAUUUACUAGCGCAGAAACCGGGUCGGGGUAAUUCAAACUUCGCGGCAACGCGAGGGCUCCGAAAAACAACGGAUGAAUCACAGUAAGUUUCGAUGCGAAUCGGGGGCUAAAGUUCCCGAUGAUGCGAACGAGUAUCUGCCCUAUCAACUUUCAAUCGUAGUGUAGGGGACUACGAUGGUCGUAACGGGUACGGGAAAUUAGGGUUCGAUUCCGGAGAGUUAGCCUUAAAAAUAGCUAACAUUACCAAGGUAAGCAGCAGGCGCGUAAAUUAUCCAAUCCCAAUUCGGGGAGAUAGUGACGAGAAAUAUCGAUGUGGGGCCUUACGGGUUUCACGAUCGAAAUGAGUACAAUUUAAAACCUUAACGAAUGCAAUUGGAGGGCAAGUCUGGUGCCAGCAGCCGCGGUAAUUCCAGCUCCAAGAGCGUAUAUUAAAGUUGUUGCGGUUAAAAAGCUCGUAGUUGGACCUUGGGGCGACGCGCGAUUUAAACUUCGCGGGGUCGCGGCUUUCGGGUCGCGGUUUCGCGGGGGCGCGCGUUCGUCUCGUUUUUUGCGUCGCUAAACGGCGUCGGAGGGCGUCUCUCGUCGGAGGCGAAAUCGUUUUUCGACGGGUUGCGCCCUUUUUCGUCGGAUUGCAAGAUUUUACUUUGAAUAAAUUAGAGCGUUCAAAGCAGGCGAAAUCGUCUUGAAUACGUUAGCAUGGGAUAAUAGAAUAGGACCGUAAGAAUUUUUUUCGGUUUAACGUUUACUGGUUUCUAAAGCCGAGGUAAUGAUUAAUAGGGACAGUUGGGGUCGCUCGUACUCGGCGGUCAGAGGUGAAAUUCUAAGACCCGCCGAAGACGAACAAGUGCGAAGGCAUUCGACAAGGAUGUUUUCUUUAAUCAAGAACGAAAGUUAUGGGAUCGAAGAUGAUCAGAUACCGUCGUAGUCAUAACCGUAAACUAUGUUGACUCGGGAUCCGAAGAAGUUACAUGGAUGACUCUUCGGGCACCGUGUGCGAAAGCACAAGUAUUCGAACUCCGGGGGGAGUAUGGUCGCAAGGCUGAAACUUAAAGGAAUUGACGGAAGGGCACCACCAGGUGUGGAAUCUGCGGCUUAAUUUGACUCAACACGGGGAAACUUACCCAGUCCGGACGCUACGAGGAUUGACAGAUUGAUAGUUCUUUCUUGAUUUUGUGGAAGCCGGUGCAUGGCCGUUUUUAGUUGGUGGAGUGAUUUGUCUGGUUAAGUCCGAUAACGAACGAGACCUAAUUUUGUUAAAUAGUACUGCCAACAAGGGGGUCGCCGGUCG
rnacentral:rRNA from 1 species